rnacentral:rRNA from 1 species
UACGUAGGGCGCAAGCGUUGUCCGGAAUUAUUGGGCGUAAAGAGCUCGUAGGCGGCUUGUCACGUCGGUUGUGAAAGCCCGGGGCUUAACCCCGGGUCUGCAGUCGAUACGGGCAGGCGUAGAGUGUGGUAGGGGGAGAUCGGAAUUCCUGGUGUAGCGGUGAAAUGCGCAGAUAUCAGGAGGAACACCGGUGGCGAAGGCGCCGCUCUGGGCCGAAACUGACGCUGAGGAGCGAAAGCAUGGGUAGCAAACAGG